rnacentral:rRNA from 1 species
CACGUAGGGGGCGAGCGUUGUCCGGAUUUAUUGGGCGUAAAGAGCUCGUAGGCGGUUCGGCAAGUCGGGUGUGAAAUUUCGAGGCUCAACCUCGAAACGCCACUCGAUACUGCUGUGACUGGAGUCCGGUAGAGGAGUGCGGAAUUCCUGGUGUAGCGGUGAAAUGCGCAGAUAUUAGGAAGAACACCCGUGGCGAAGGCGGCUCUCUGGGACGGUACUGACGCUGAGACGCGAAAGCGUGGGGAGCGAACAGG